CCUACGGGUGGCAGCAGUGGGGAAUAUUGCACAAUGGGGGAAACCCUGAUGCAGCGACGCCGCGUGAGUGAAGAAGUAAUUCGGUAUGUAAAGCUCUAUCAGCAGGGAAGAAAAUGACGGUACCUGAGUAAGAAGCCCCGGCUAACUCCGUGCCAGCAGCCGCGGUAAUACGCAGGGGGCAAGCGUUCACCGGUUUUACUGGUUGUAAAGGUAGCGUAGACGGCAGUGCAAGUCGGGAGUGAAAGGCGCGGGCUCAACCCCCGGACUGCUCUGGAAACUGUACGGCUGGAGUGCAGGAGAGGGGAGUGGAAUUCCUGGUGUAGCGGUGAAAUGCGGAGAGAUUAGGAGGAACACCAGGGGCGAAGGCGGCCUACUGGACUGUAACUGACGUUGAGGCUCGAAAGCGUGGGGAGCAAACAGGAGUAGAUACCCUUGUAGUC
rnacentral:rRNA from 1 species